rnacentral:rRNA from 1 species
UGUGUAGGCGGUUUGGUAAGUCUGGUGUGAAAUCUCCCGGCUCAACUGGGAGGGUGCGCCGGAAAUUGCCGGACUCGAGUGCGGGAGAGGAGAGUGGAAUUCCUGGUGUAGCGGUGAAAUGCGUAGAUAUCAGGAGGAACACCGGUGGUGUAGACGGCUCUCUGGACCGUAACUGACGCUGAAACACGAAAGCGUGGGUAGCAAACAGGAUUAGAUACCCUGGUAGUCCACGCCCUAAACGAUGCAUAUUUGGUGUGGGUCAUUCAGUUGAUCCGUGCCGGAGCUAACGCGUUAAAUAUGCCGCCUGGGGAGUACAGUCGCAAGGCUGAA